CGUGCGAGGCGGGCGGCGCGGCCGCCCCUCACAGCGCCCCGCCAUCGCCCUCGCACCCAGCGCCCACCGUCCUUCCCCUCGCAGCGCCCCGCCAUCGCCCUCGCACCCAGCGCCCACCGUCCUUCCCCUCACAGCGCCCCGCCAUCGCCCUCGCACCCAGCGCCCACCGUCCUUCCCCUCACAGCGCCCCGCCAUCGCCCUCGCACCCAGCGCCCACCGUCCGCCUCCCUCACAGCGCUCCGCCAUUGCCCUCAGAACCCACACCAUCCCCCCGCAUCUGCCACUCCUGGGAGAAAGUCAGGAAAUCAAUUGCAUUCGGGCUAUCUUGUAACUGUCAUGAAGAAAAAAAAAAAUAAGGCGUAACCACAGAGGUAGCACAUUUCUUAGACCAGUCCUUGAAAAUCUACCGGGUUUCAGACAGCCCCUUUCACAAAUGUUGUAUGCUGAGACUGUUCCUCUAGAGGAAACUGCAACUCCCAUCCACACAGCACAGAGAAGCAGAUGCCGGUUAUUUCAGAAAAGCAGCAUGGGUGGCCACACUUGCUAAUUGAAAGAGUCCACUCAGACCUGAUGGAGCAGGCUGUGUCAAAGGAAGAAAAAUAGGACCUGGCCAUGUAAAAAGAAUGCCUCUUGCCAAAACAAGUAGAGCAGAAGUCCUCAUCCUUCUCUUUUUGCCUCUCUGUGGUUGUUUUCUCUUCAGCAGAAAUAAAGAUCCCUUUAAAUCAAUUUGAAA